UAUUGACUGGUGCCAGCCUGCAGAGCUCUUCUGCUGCCUGACCUCUCCUCCUCUUUCAUGGCUGUAAUUGUCGUUUGGAUAAUUGUAGAAGAGCAAUUAAGUUACUUGCCUCUGUGAAUGUGCUGGUAAUACCAGGAAGGCAAAUGCUUGAACCAGUAGUGAAUAACUUGGCUACAAGUAGAAUUUCUGAAGGAAGAACAGCAGCAGCAACAGGAAGCAAAUAGCGAGUGACCAAAAAUUUGCGUGCGUCAAACGCAUCAAAGCUUUAUUGCCAAAUGUUGUUUGGCAAUAUGUUCCAAAUGGCUUUUUUUGGUAAACGUAAAUUUUUAGGAAGUUCAGGGUUGUGUGUGGCAAAAGGUGUCCCUCUGCGUACGCGUCCUGCUACGGUAAAUAGCAUGGGUCAGUGGCAAGUCCAGCGGCAGGGCUGUUGUUCCCUACUCUCGACGUUGCCAGAGCAGUGUUGCGGUAUUGAGACCUUAACGGACGGGCUGAGGAAUGGAAGGAGAAUGCCCGUUUUCUGUAAGGGCUCAGAGUGCCAACCCUUUUCUCUGUCUGCCGCUCCCCUGAGCGUGAGAUGAAGCUGUUUUAUUUUUCUCCCUUGUUCCUGGUCUAAAUAAUUCUGGAGCUGUUGCUGCUGUGGGUUUGCAAUUUGUGUUACUGCAUUUUUGUAGCGUUCUAGCGAUGGGUCGUUUCUACUGGGGCGAAGCAUCGAGAUGCGGUUUUCGGUGUAAAGCGUCAGAAACUACAUUCACCGAAACCGGUAAGUCGCGGCGGAGGUGAAACCAAUCUGGCGCGUGCGGCUGUGCUCGCAGGGAUGCUCGGUGGCUCCUCAUCAAAACGGCAAGGUGGAUGUCAGCUGCCACCAUUUCACUGUGGUUGCCCUUUCUUCUGCCGUGAAAGUACAAGACAGAUGGAAAGAUUCCGUAGUGGUCUGCAAGUACAAGGUUUUCCCAGGAAGCAUUAGCAGCCUUGUAACUAGUGACAGUGAGUCCUGAGGUGGUUUUGUUUUCCACUUCACUUUCAGCUUUAUUCACCAAACGAGCAAGAUGCAAAGCAGCAGCAGCAGCAGCGCAAGGACUGUAGCUGUUGUGGUGGAUCCGUAAGCGUAGAUUCUGAUUGCGUACAACCUCGUCCCGCAGCCUCCCGGGGUUCUCUCCCUGCAGCAGUGCUGUAAGGAAGGGCAGAGACGUUUUCCAACGCCGGCAAGAGUGUUUACUUGUAUGCUAAGAAGGUGUUGAAAAUGGUAUCAAUUAGCCUAAACGCUGAUUUUAAGUGUUCAAAUCACUCUUAACUUUUAAAGGAGGUGGUGUAUUUCGAGCUGACCUGUUUACCUGGAAUCCUCCUUUAGCUCAGCUACUCUUCUUGUGCACCCCCAGCCUCCGCUGGCAGGGUGGUAUGAGAAGCUGGAAGGUCCUUGACUUAGUAUAAACACUGCUUAGCAACAA